rnacentral:rRNA from 1 species
CCUACGGGAGGCUGCAGUGAGGAAUAUUGGUCAAUGGUCGGGAGACUGAACCAGCCAAGCCGCGUGAGGGAGGAAGGUACAGAGUAUCGUAAACCUCUUUUGUCAGGGAACAAAGGCGGGGACGUGUCCCCUGCUGAGUGUACCUGAAGAAAAAGCAUCGGCUAACUCCGUGCCAGCAGCCGCGGUAAUACGGAGGAUGCGAGCGUUAUCCGGAUUUAUUGGGUUUAAAGGGUGCGUAGGCGGACGCUUAAGUCAGCGGUAAAAUUGCGGGGCUCAACCUCGUCGAGCCGUUGAAACUGGGUGCCUGGAGUGGGCGAGAAGUACGCGGAAUGCGUGGUGUAGCGGUGAAAUGCAUAGAUAUCACGCAGAACUCCGAUUGCGAAGGCAGCGUACCGGCGCCCAACUGACGCUGAAGCACGAAGGCGUGGGUAUCGAACAGGAUUAGAUACCCCAGUAGUC